rnacentral:misc_RNA from 1 species
GAAAUGCGAUAAGUAAUGUGAAUUGCAGAAUUCAGCGAAUCAUCGAAUCUUUGAACGCACAUUGCGCCCAAUAGUAUUCUACUGGGCAUGCCUGUUCGAGCGUCAUUUCAACCCUCAGGCCCUUCUAGGUCUGGUGAUGGGGCAUUCUACAGCCUAGCUGUAGGCCCUGAAAUUCAGUGGCGGGCUUGUUAAGACCCCGAGCGUAGUAAAUUUACACGUUCGCUUGGGGCGUCUAGCGAGUAACACUUGCCAUUAAACACCCCCUAUAAUCUAAUGGUUGACCUCGGAUCAGGUAGGAAUACCCGCUGAACUUAA